UGGGACAGGAGCCCAGUCCUCGGCCCCCAGGUGUCCCCAUUCCCUGAUCAGGACUCAACACAAACCAUUCACCAUGGGGUUUGGCCUCAGCUGGGUUUUCCUUGUGGCUCUUUUAAGAGGUGUCCAGUGUGAGGUACAGCUAGUGGAGUCUGGGGGAGGCUUUGUGCAGCCUGAUGGUUCUCUGACCCUCUCCUGUGCAGCCUCUGGAUUCACCUUCAGUAGCUACUGGAUGAACUGGAUCCGCCAGGCUCCAGGGAAGGGGCUGGAGUGGAUUUCUACUAUUACUCAUACUGAUGGUAGCACAUACUAUGCAGACUCUGUGAAGGGCAGAUUCACCAUCUCUAGAGAUAAUGCCAAGAACAUGCUGUAUCUGCAAAUUAACAGCUUGAGAUAUGAGGACAUGGCCAUGUAUUACUGUACAAGACACACAGUGAGGGAAAGUCAGUGUGAGGUCAGACACAAAACUCCCUGCAGGAGAGGCUGUGACCAUCGGGGGGUGCUCAGGGUCCCUGAACACAAGGACCAUCCCAGCAGCAGGGCCUACCACUAUGAAUCUAAUGUGAUUGACAUCCCUCCACAGUUGCUAAUUUCCACAGUGUCACAUCUCAUUUUCCCCAGUAGACAAACUCCUCCCUUCCUGGGAAUGAGCACACCUGAGUAA